rnacentral:rRNA from 1 species
UACGGAGGAUCCGAGCGUUAUCCGGAUUUAUUGGGUUUAAAGGGGGCGUAGGCGGACGCUUAAGUCAGUUGUGAAAGUUUGCGGCUCAACCGUAAAAUUGCAGUUGAUACUGGGUGUCUUGAGUACAGUAGAGGCAGGCGGAAUUCGUGGUGUAGCGGUGAAAUGCUUAGAUAUCACGAAGAACUCCGAUUGCGAAGGCAGCCUGCUGGACUGUAACUGACGCUGAUGCUCGAAAGUGUGGGUAUCAAACAGG